rnacentral:ncRNA from 1 species
CUUAUCAAGAGUGGCGGAGGGAAUGGCCCGAUGAAGCCCGACAACCUGCUGAUGCGCAAGCGUCGGUAAGGUGCCAAAUCCAGCGGUUUUUCGUAAAGAUGAGG